rnacentral:rRNA from 1 species
UGAGGAAUAUUGCGCAAUGGGGGCAACCCUGACGCAGUGACGCCGCGUGAGUGAUGAAGGCUUUCGAGUCGUAAAGCUCUGUUAGGUGGAAAGAAACAUCCCGGCGCUAAUAUCGUCGGGACUUGACGGUACCACCAGAGGAAGCACCGGCUAACUCCGUGCCAGCAGCCGCGGUAAUACGGAGGGUGCAAGCGUUGUUCGGAUUUACUGGGCGUAAAGGGCGUGUAGGCGGUUGGCUAAGUCAGAUGUGAAAUCCCUUGGCUUAACCAAGGAACGGCAUUUGAAACUAGCUAACUAGAGUACAGGAGAGGAAAGUGGAAUUCCCAGUGUAGAGGUGAAAUUCAUAGAUAUUGGGAGGAACACCGGUAGCGAAGGCGGCUUUCUGGUCUGAUACUGACGCUGAGACGCGAAAGCGUGGGUAGCAAACAG